GAUGAAGAACGUAGCGAAAUGCGAUAAGUAAUGUGAAUUGCAGAAUUCAGUGAAUCAUCGAAUCUUUGAACGCAUCUUGCGCUCCUUGGUAUUCCGAGGAGCAUGCCUGUUUGAGUGUCAUUUUAACUUCUCAACCAUAUCGAAUUGUUUUUCGAGGUGGCUUGGACAUGGGGGUUUUUGCAGGCUUUAAUAAUGAAGUCGGCUCCUCUGAAAUGCAUUAGUGGUAUCUGAAGCAGAACUGCUACUAUUAGGUGUGAUAAUUAUCUAUGCCUCUUGGUAUACUGCAUGAACAGAUUGCGCUGCUUCCAACUUGUACACCCUUUGGUGUUUGACAAAUUUGACCUCAAAUCAGGUAGGACUACCCGCUGAACUUAAGCAUAUCAAUAAGCGGAAGA
rnacentral:misc_RNA from 1 species